AUACUUACCUGGACGGGAUCAAUGGGCGAUCAACAAGGCCCAUGGCCUAGGUUGGUGACCUCCAUUGCACUUUGGAGGGGUGCCUGCCUAAGGUCGGCCCAAAUGGCCGAGCCUACGUCAUAAUUUGUGGCAGCAGGGGCCUGCGUUCGCGCGGCCCUUA
rfam:Capsicum annuum cultivar Zunla-1 chromosome 5, whole genome shotgun sequence